rnacentral:lncRNA from 1 species
AUCAGAUCUAUAUCCGAUCCAAUCCAAUUGUUACCCCUACAUGUUCGCUUAAUACAGAGAAGUAGGAGCUUUCCAAAAUAGGUCAAUUAGUUGACUGGUCAUCAAAUACUUGAUUUUUAAGUGUACUUGUAAAUUUGAACUUGCUCCGAUGGUCACACCCCUUUACUUGGCGUUCAGAGAUUCUAGGUUUGAUUCUUGGUUUGUGCAUCCUCAGAAAUAUGGACCC